rnacentral:lncRNA from 1 species
UUAGGGUGUAAAACCCUAAUGCUGAUUGCAUGGAAAAGCUCAGAUUAGGAUUUAAAACCCUAAUGCUGGCUGAAUGGAAAAAGGUUCAGUUUAGGGUUUAAAACCCUAAUGCUGAUUGCAUGGAAAAGCAAAGUUUAGGGUUUAAAACCCUAAUGCUGGCUGAAUGGAAAAAGUUCAGUUUAGGGUUUAAAACCCUAAUGCUGAUUGCAUGGAAAAGCUCAGUUUAGGGUUUAAAACCCUAAUGCUGGCUGAAUGGAAAAAAGUUCAGUUUAGGGUAUAAAACCUUAAUGCUGAUUGCAUGGAAAAGCUCUGUUUAGGGUUUAAAACCCUAAUGCUGGCUAAAUGGAAAAAAGUUUAGUUUAGGGUUUAAAACCCUAAUGCUGACUAAAGGAAGAAGUUCAGUUUAGGGUUUAAAACCCUAACGCUGAUUGCAUGAAAAAGCUCAGUUUAGGGUUUAAAACCCUAAUGAUGGCUAAAUGGAAAAAAGUUCAGUUUAGCGUUUAAAACCCUAAUGCUGACUAAAGGAAGAAGUUCAGUUUAGGGUUUAAAACCCUAACGCUGAUUGCAUGGAAAAGCUCAGUUUAGGGUUUAAAACCCUAAUGCUGGCUAAAUGGAAAAAAGUUCAGUUUAGGGUUUAAAACCCUAAUGCUGAUUGCAUGGAAAAACUCAGUUUAGGGAUUAAAACCCUAAUGCUGACUAAAGGAAAAGUUCAGUUUAGGUUUUAAAACCCUAAUGCUGACUGAAUGGAAAAAAGUUCAGUUUAGGGUUUAAAACCCUAAUGCUGAUUGAAUGGAAAAAUUCAGUUUAGGGUUUAAAACCCUAAUGAUGAUUGCAUGGAAAAGCUCAGUUUAGGGUUUAAAACCAUAAUGCAGGUUGAAUGGAAAAAAGUUCAGUUUAGGUUUUAAAACCCUAAUGCUGAUUGCAUGGAAAAGCUCAGUUGACGGGUUUAAAACCCUAAUGCUGGCUGAAUGGAAAAAAGUUCAGUUAGGGUUUUAAACCCUAAUGCUGAUUAAAGGAAAAAGUUCAGUUUAGGUUUUAAAACCCUAAUGCUGGCUGAAUGGAAAAAAGUUUAGUUUAGGGUUUAAAACCCUAAUGCUGACUAAAGGAAGAAGUUCAGUUUAGGGUUUAAAACCCUAAUGCUGAUUGCAUGAAAAAGCUCAGUUUAGGGUUUAAAACCCUAAUGCUGGCUGAAUGGAAAAAAGUUCAUUUUUAGGGUUUAUAACCCUAAUGAUGGCUAAAGGAAAAAGUUCAGUUUAGGGUUUAAAACCCUAAUGCUGACUAAAGGAAAAGUUCAGCUUAGGGUUUAAAACCCUAAUGCUGACUGAAAGGAAAGAGUUCAGUUUAGGGUUUAAAACCCUAAUACUGAUUGCAUGGAAAAGCUCAGUUUAGGGUUUAAAACCCUAAUGCUGGAUGAAUGGAAAAAAGUUCAGUUUAGGGUUUAAAACCCUAAUGCUGAUUGCAGGAAAAAGUUCAGUUUAGGGUUUAAAACCCUAAUGCUGACUAAAGGAAAAGUUCAGUUUAGGGUUUAAAACCCUAAUGCUAACUGAAAGGAAAGAGUUCAGUUUAGGGUUUAAAACCCUAAUGCUGAUUGCAUGGAAAAGCUCAUAUUAGGGUUUAAAACCCUAAUGCUGGCUGAAUGGAAAAAAGUUCAGUUUAGGGUUUAAAACCCUAAUGCUGAUUGCAUGAAAAAGCUCAGUUUAGGGUUUAAAACCCUAAUGAUGGCUAAAUGGAAAAAAGUUCAUUUUUAGCAUUU